UCGGGAGUGACCGACUGUGAAAGAAGCUACACCUUGAGAGAGAGCUAUGGUGGAAGAUUGCUAAUUUCAAGAAACGUUGGAGGAAAAUAUGAGUUUGGCUCAGUAGCGAACUAAGAUUGUACAAGCGUUUUGAGUCAGAUCACUGCCAAGUGCAAGAAAGAUUGUCAUGAAUCCCCAGGUUGUUCUACUACUCAUGCUGGUAGCCGUCCCCUGCACAUCUGCAGUAACUUGUCGAGGCGAUAAGAUUGCUUGUGCAAAUCAACAAGAGUGUAUCUACGCGUCUUACCGCUGCGAUGGGGACACUGACUGUAGUGAUGGAUCAGACGAACAAUGCA